AAAACAAUCCAUCGGAUUUUAUCACCGAGAAGAUUUUGUUACAGAUUGUUCAUCGUCCUGGAUUCUGUGUUCGAAAGGAAAUUUAUAGCAUUUCAAAUCCCUCUAAAACUUGGAUGCUACUACAAAUAUAACUUUAGUAUCCACUGUGCCCACUAGAUGUCAGACAAUUUCGAUAAGGCUGUGGACUUCUUCACUAUUAUACAAACCGUGACUUGACACCAGUUGAAAGUAUGACAGUUUACUUGCUUCUUGCGUUACUUCGUACUUGUCAUAAUUAGAUCCUAGUAUACUAUUUCCACCGAAUAAAGAGGGAUAAAUUAGCUUGUCACAUGUUAUGUCAUUUUAAGAUUCCACGUCUUUCUUGUAUCCCUUCGAGAUACAGAUCUCAACUGGAUCCAAUGAACUGGAAGAAGCUAAACAAAAGAAAAAACUGCACGUGGAAUAGAGAUACGUUAUUGGAUGCCAGAGGAUGAACUUGUCUUUAAAAAGAAUGUAUUCUUCAAAAUCAAAUCGCCGUCUUGUUAACGCCAUCUGACAAUUUUGCAUUAUCCGCGUAUACUUCCCGUCAAAGAUAAUCCUACGAACUUGAAUUCACGUCGGGUGGAAAUCCUCGGCAUUAUAAGCUAAGAGAAAAAUUAAUAUUUUAUAACAAUAUUAUUUUUAAUCUCGAAGUAAACGCGCGAGGUGUCUGACAUACAAAAAUUCUAUGCUUUUCAGAUGGAGAAUAAAAUCGGGCGACCAUUCCUGGAUUAAUAUUGUUUAAGUGCUACGUUAAUAAUUUCGCGUUAGAAUUUAAGGCAUGACUUUUUAAUGAGAAUAAGGUCUGAAGGUUUCAACGAAAAUUCUUGUCACGUGCGUGUAAUGAGCUUGUGCAGUGAAGCAAACCUUUGGAGAAAGAAAACAAUAAGAAUUCAAAAUAUCAAUGGAGACUUCCAUCUACGUUACGAGCAAUAGGCUGUAAUACGAAUUUCGAAAAAAAAAAACUCAAUGGGAUCUAUUUUCAAUCUAACAAGCGGCUGCGUAGACAAGUUUAUGUUCAUGACAUAUGGAAUCAAAGUUACCAAGUUACCUGCGUUUUCUUUGCGACUGAAGUAAUAUACAGGGUGUUUCUUUUAUCUCUGUAAGCCAAAAUAACUCGUUAAUUAUCGAUGUAACAACAAAAUGUUUCAAACAAAAGUUGUACGGUGUGGAGGGGGCCACCA